CUAGGCCUGGGGCUGGGUCCUGGCCGUCCAGUGUGGUGGGGUAGGAAUGGAGGCCCAGGAGACUAGCUGAGGCUCUGUCCCUGGGGCUGGGGCCAGGCCUGGUGGAGCCAGUGGACGUAGUAGACAACGCUGAUGGCACCCAGACCGUCAAUUAUGUGCCCAGCCGAGAAGGGCCCUACAGCAUCUCAGUACUGUAUGGAGAUGAAGAGGUACCCCGGAGCCCCUUCAAGGUCAAGGUGCUGCCUACUCAUGAUGCCAGCAAGGUGAAGGCCAGUGGCCCCGGGCUCAACACCACUGGCGUGCCUGCCAGCCUGCCCGUGGAGUUCACCAUCGAUGCAAAGGACGCCGGGGAGGGCCUGCUGGCUGUCCAGAUCACGGAUCCCGAAGGCAAGCCGAAGAAGACACACAUCCAAGACAACCAUGACGGCACGUAUACAGUGGCCUACGUGCCAGACGUGAC
rnacentral:sRNA from 1 species